rnacentral:rRNA from 1 species
GACGAACGCUGGCGGCGUGCUUAACACAUGCAAGUCGAACGGUGAAGCGCCUUCCUUUUUGGUGGGUGUGGAUGAGUGGCGAACGGGUGAGUAACACGUGAGUAACCUGCCCCCUUCUUCUGGAUAACCGCAUGAAAGUGUGGCUAAUACGGGAUAUUCUGGGUCUGUCUCAUGCUGGGUCUGGGAAAGUUAUUGUUUCGGUGGGGGAUGGGCUCGCGGCCUAUCAGCUUGUUGGUGGGGUGAUGGCCUACCGAGGCGGGGACGGGUAGCCGGCCUGAGAGGGUUGACUGUCAGACUGGGGAGGAGAAACGGCCAAGCCUGGAAUGGGAGGCAGCAGUGAGGAAUAUGGGACGAUGGGGGGAAGAAUAAUGCAGCGACGCCGCGUGAGUGAUGGAGGCCUUCGGGGUGUGAACCUCUUUCGCCAGUGAAGCAGGGCUGCCUCGUCUGUGGGUAGGUUGACGGUAGCUGGAGAAGAAGCUCCGGCUAACUACGUG